CAUAUGGUUAUGCUCCACAGGAAGAACUAGAGAUCAAGGCCAUCAGGAUGUGCCAAUAAGACGGAGACAGGAUCACUAAUAAGCUUGGGGGUGCCUCUCCUCUGUAGGUCAGGGUUGAUGGUAGACAAGGUUUUCUCAGAUUUGAGCUUUGUAUGACCUCUAAGUAACAGAGAAUGGAACUCAUCUUUCACUUCUGAAUGAGCUCCUCACUGUAAUUGAUGGCAUUUCCUGAAAUGGCUGCGAUCAUUAGGGCUCCAGUGA
rnacentral:lncRNA from 1 species